rnacentral:rRNA from 1 species
GAACGGUGUCUUCGGACACAGUGGCGGACGGGUGAGUAACGCGUGAGAAUCUAGCUUUAGGUCUGGGACAACCACUGGAAACGGUGGCUAAUACCGGAUGUGCCGCAAGGUGAAAGGUUAACUGCCUGAAGAUGAGCUCGCGUCUGAUUAGCUAGUUGGUGUGGUAAGAGCGCACCAAGGCGACGAUCAGUAGCUGGUCUGAGAGGACGAUCAGCCACACUGGGACUGAGACACGGCCCAGACUCCUACGGGAGGCAGCAGUGGGGAAUUUUCCGCAAUGGGCGAAAGCCUGACGGAGCAAUACCGCGUGAGGGAGGAAGGCUCUUGGGUCGUAAACCUCUUUUCUCAGGGAAGAACACAAUGACGGUACCUGAGGAAUAAGCAUCGGCUAACUCCGUGCCAGCAGCCGCGGUAAUACGGAGGAUGCAAGCGUUAUCCGGAAUGAUUGGGCGUAAAGCGUCCGCAGGUGGCUAUGUAAGUCUGCUGUUAAAGAGUCUAGCUCAACUAGAUAAGAGCAGUGGAAACUACAAGGCUAGAGUGCGUUCGGGGCAGAGGGAAUUCCUGGUGUAGCGGUGAAAUGCGUAGAGAUCAGGAAGAACACCGGUGGCGAAGGCGCUCUGCUAGGCCGCAACUGACACUGAGGGACGAAAGCUAGGGGAGCGAAUGGGAUUAGAUACCCCAGUAGUCCUAGCCGUAAACGAUGGAUACUAGGCGUGGCUUGUAUCGACCCGAGCCGUGCCGUAGCUAACGCGUUAAGUAUCCCGCCUGGGGAGUACGCCGGCAACGGUGAAACUCAAAGGAAUUGACGGGGGCCCGCACAA